AUCGUCUAGAGGCCUAGGACAUCGCCCUUUCACGGCGGUAACGGGGGUUCGAAUCCCCCU
rnacentral:tRNA from 1 species